GUGGCUCAUUAGCCAGGAACCAAGGCUGCCACAUGUAUGCAGCUCACACCCACCAGCUUAGCAGCAGCUCAGCUCUCCUUCCCUCUGCCUGGAAUAUUUAAUAUUUUACCCUGGGAUCAUUAUCGUGAGUUUGAAAACAUCUUUGAUACAGGAGACUUACUGAGGGGCCAAAAGCAUCAGAUGUACUUGGUAAUGCUUCAUCAGUGCUUCUGUUGCUGCUGCUCCAGUGGAAGCAGGAAGUCUUUUUGCAGUAUUUGUCAGUUCCCCAGGUCAGUCACUCCAAGACUGUUCCUGAGCACUUUGCCUGUUUGCACAGUGUGUUGUGUGAACAUGAACAGAGACACUGGCAGGGAGAUCCACAGGUCCUCUGUGGGGAAUAUAUUCCCCAUGCUUGUAAAAGAGGAAAGAAUAACUGAAGAAAACACUCUAAUGUUGGAUCUUGUUGAAUAGGAAUCACAUCUCUCUGCCUAAAUUUGCUAUAAAUGUGUAGUUUUGUAGAUCUGCCCCAAGCUUUUAAAGGGGUUCUGUUUCUCUCAAGAGUUUCAAGGUGUAAAUGCUAAAACCACCAAAGCAAGGCAGUGUUACAGAAUGUAUUGUCUGUGCUUGCAUUUGUCCAGUGAGCUUGCAUUAAAUACACUGGGUCCCUGUAGCAUC